GGUGUUCGAAGCAGCCGGGAGGGCUGCCCGCUUGCCCAGUCUUGCCGGGCACGGCGCGCAGCUGUUGCGAGAGGCGGUCCGGGGAAGCGCAGGGAGGGGGGCAGAGGAACGCGUGCGCUUGCCCGUCGUUGUGUAACGCUAACCGGGAGCCGCCGCUAGCGACCAAGCUGCACUGCAGGCACCUUGCCAGUCAAUCCCAGGCUGCGCAGGUAGCACCAUUAGAAACUAUGGUGAGAGUUCACAGUCUCAAUCAAUGCAGUUAUAGAAUUGUAGUCUGGUCAAGCUAACAAACAGGAUCAGUAAAGAGGGGAGUUCUGCGAGGGAGUUCUCCAGGCAAAGGAGGAGUGACUACAUUACCCUCAGGUACGAGCCUAAAAUCACAUACAUUCAAAACAGCUGGUAAAUGAGCCGUAAACAACUUCGGCUGAUAAACAUGAGCUGGCUCUGGAAAAAGCAGCCACGUGAGCAGUGACUGGAGUGCACAGAUGAAGAGACCAUGGCAUUGGACAUGAUUGUAAGGACCUGGAGAGGUUAGAACAGAGACUCAGAGCCUU